CGGGACUAGUUACUAUGGGCUACAAUGGGGUACAAUGAUAUAUUUGUUUACGUUUAUGGCAAAUUAACUCCAAUAAAAGUAUGCCGAAUUAAUUAUUAUCAGUUCGUGAUUGUAAAUUACUCAUGGAUGUUCAGACAACUAUCACUGUAUUAGUUUUAUACUGAAGAAAACUUAAAAUCGUGAAAAUUCUCAAGCGAAUUCUGGAGCUAUAAGGAGCGUCUUUUUUGCACUGUCUCUACGCGGAUUUAAGGAGGUUUCUUCACGAUGGACACCGGAGACAAUGACAUAUUCAGACAUUGAGAACUUUUCCCGGGAACUAACUUGUUUGCCAGCAGUCUGGAUUAAUGUUGUUAUUCCAGCGAUCCCUCUUCAGCUCCGUAUCAGAAACAGUCUCAUUCUAUACAAUCACACCUGGAAACCUGAUAUGUGUGAGCCGUUAAAGUUCUACGAAAGAGGAACAACAAAGACAGCUGUACCGUUAAGAUGCAGACUUUAUCUGAUCAACAGCUCCUACCAAAACAACAAGGACAGUUUAGAGAGACAGAGAGCUGAGGAAUGACACGAGAGCCGGGAGUGGAACCAGGGACACGCUGCCCAGAGCGUCCUCGCUCACAUGGCGCCAUCAAACUUUGUUGCAGCAGAGUCGGCCGCGGUUCCAGACUUCAGUUUGAGCGAGGUUGGAGCAGCGCUGCCUAUGACACAGUCAAACAGCUUUAUCAUCAUCCACAGUCACUGCUGCCGCCGCCGCCGCCGUCGCCGUCGCCCAGACACCUUCACGCUCCUUCACCUCAGGGCAGAUACGUCGGAGUACAAAGAGUUAGCAGCUGGAAUCUCCAUUAAUGAGUGAGAAGCAGAAGACAACUGACAGCUGCCAUCUUGAGUUGUCAUGACCUUUUCCCGCC